UCGUAAACAAAGGGUUUUCCCGUAAGGGUGAAACCCUGCGGGAAAGGGAUUCAUUUGUUGUMAAACCCUGCGAAGCAAGAACGACCCGCGAACUCGUUUUUCAACACUUGGGAGCCGCGCGGGCGGGGUGCUUUCGGCCCCCUCGUCCGUGCGUCUCCCGUCCGUCCCCGGGGGCGCGCGCUCGCGUGCGCUUCGGGCGACUAACGAACCCCCGGCGCGAAAAGCGCCAAGGAAUACUUAACAGACAGCCUGCCUCCGGCGCCCCGUUCGCGGUGCGCGCCUGAGCGCGUGUGCUUCUUUUGAAACUGAAACGACUCUCGGCAACGGAUAUCUCGGCUCUCGCAUCGAUGAAGAACGUAGCGAAAUGCGAUACUUGGUGUGAAUUGCAGAAUCCCGUGAACCAUCGAGUCUUUGAACGCAAGUUGCGCCCGAAGCCAUUAGGCCGAGGGCACGUCUGCCUGGGCGUAUCGCGUCGCCCCCCGCAAUCUGCGAGGGGCGGAUACUGGCCUCCCGUGCGCUUCCCGCUCGCGGCUGGCCUAAAUGCGAGUCCACGUCGACGGACGUCGCGGCAAGUGGUGGUUGAAACUCAACUCUCGUAAUGUCGCGGCUACAGCCCGUCGCUCGUUCGGACUCCCCGACCCUUCUAGCGCUCGCGCGCUCCGA
rnacentral:misc_RNA from 1 species